rnacentral:sRNA from 1 species
CCGCAUUAGUGAUUGCAGCGGCAUCCUUUUUUAUGUCAUUGGGGGAAAUUGGUGCAGGCAAAAAGUCCGGGGCAUAAAAAAGAUAUAGCGGAAAGCACGGCCACUU